AAGUGCAAAAUUUGCCAGCUAUCUAAUAUUUGUCUUUGUAGCUUCUAGUUAUGUCCUUACGAAACAUAGAAUUGUGUGUACAACAAAAGAAUAAAGCAAAAGUUACAUAACGACCAAAUUUAUGUUGUUUGCCCAUUUACUAUUAGAGCUUGCCUUAGGUUGGUUCCUCUCUCACCUAGGCAGAGAGAGGUUUAUGUUCUUUAGGUUCAUGCCUUCAUCUAGGGCUCCAUCCCUCUUAAUUUAGUUGCUGGUCGGCUUUCCUGUGUCCCUCUAGGCAGGGGAAGGCUACUCUUCUCCAAUCCAGAAGUGAGUUUCUCUCUCCUUUAUGGGUUGGGAUUGUAAAUAGUGUUGGUUUCUUCUUAGUUAGUUGUUGUAUCUGUAUGGUUGAGGGUCUUCUUUGGAGUUGCUUUUAUGUUUUUUUGCUAUUUCUGUGAUUUUUUUAUGUUGCCUCCUAUUGCAGGUUUGUUGAUCUCUCAAGUGAACGACGGAAUGGGUUACUCUGAUCCUUCAACGACAACUGUUAAGCUAGAGCUCUGCCAUGCUGUGACUGCUUCUCGCCGCUAGUUUUCGAGAGUCAGAUCUAGUUAUGUUGGUUUGUAGUGAUUGCCAUAGUUGUAGCUUCCUUCCAUGGUUGAUUGGGCUCUCACAAGCUCUGGUAGAAAUUUCUUCAUAUUGAAUUCUGUAUUCUUUCUCCACCUACAGUUGAAAAGAUUGUCUCCCUUAUGGGACUGCAUCAGGCAAGAGCUAAAUAAACUCUUCUCUACAUAAUAAUCUAUUAAUA
rnacentral:lncRNA from 1 species